AUUGAACGCUGGCGGCAGGCCUAACACAUGCAAGUCGAACGAGUGGCGGACGGGUGAGUAAUGUCUGGGAAACUGCCCGAUGGAGGGGGAUAACUACUGGAAACGGUAGCUAAUACCGCAUACCAUCGGAUGUGCCCAGAUGGGAUUAGCUAGUAGGGGGGGUAACGGCUCACCUAGGCGACGAUCCCUAGCUGGUCUGGGAGGAUGACCACCCACACUGGAACGAGGACACGGUCCAGACUCUUACGGGAGGCAGCAGUGGGGAUUAUUGCACAAUGGGCGCAAGCCUGAUGCAGCCAUGCCGGGUAUAUGAAGAAGGCCUGCGGGUUGUAAAGUACUUUCAGCGGGGAGGCGUUACCGGCAGAAGAAGCACCGGCUAACUCCGUGCCAGCAGCCGCGGUAUUC
rnacentral:rRNA from 1 species